GGUAGAGUUGUCUGAGUUUUUGAUCUGGCUCAGAUUGAACGCUGGCGGCAUGCCUUACACAUGCAAGUCGAACGGCAGCAUAGGAGCUUGCUCCUGAUGGCGAGUGGCGAACGGGUGAGUAAUAUAUCGGAACGUGCCCUAGAGUGGGGGAUAACUAGUCGAAAGACUAGCUAAUACCGCAUACGAUCUACGGAUGAAAGUGGGGGAUCGCAAGACCUCAUGCUCCUGGAGCGGCCGAUAUCUGAUUAGCUAGUUGGUGGGGUAAAAGCCUACCAAGGCAACGAUCAGUAGCUGGUCUGAGAGGACGACCAGCCACACUGGGACUGAGACACGGCCCAGACUCCUACGGGAGGCAGCAGUGGGGAAUUUUGGACAAUGGGGGCAACCCUGAUCCAGCAAUGCCGCGUGAGUGAAGAAGGCCUUCGGGUUGUAAAGCUCUUUUGUCAGGGAAGAAACGGUAGUAGCGAAUAACUAUUACUAAUGACGGUACCUGAAGAAUAAGCACCGGCUAACUACGCAGCGUACUUGA
rnacentral:rRNA from 1 species